CCGGCCCACCCCGCGCGCAGCGCUCCUGGCGGUUGCAGCCGUUGGGGCAGUUCAGUAACAGCCACGGCUGCGCCUCAGGGCGCGGCCCUCCUGACCACCCUGAGAGCUACUUCUCCACGCCAUCUGCCUGCCGGCACUUGGCCCGACCAUCUGGACGCGUGGAGCCACGCUGAGCCUGUAGCCCUCAGCCAGAGACAGCUCUUAACGACUUGCAGCCUGUGGCCUGAACAUCCUGUCCAGACUAUAGGCAACACCCGCCAAGAGCUUUCCAUCACCUUCUUCUAGGACAUGCCCUGUACCCUGGAUCCCAAAUCAUCCUCUUUUAGAUUCUUCCUUCUUUUGGGAGAACACUUUCUCCAGUAACUUCCUGAGAAAGAGUGACUAAGAGGAAACAACUUGAUGCAGAAAACCACCCUUCUCCAUGUGACUUAGACAACCCUGUGAUGGUCCCCUUCAUUACCUGUGGUGAUGCAAGGAGAAAUCACAGCAUGAAGUAACCGUAUCAGUGUGCAAAAACAGAAAGAAGCCAAAUACUGGCAAAGAAACCAGUAAAUAAUUCAAAAUAGGAAAUGGCAAGAUGGAACUCUAACCCAAAGUAGUGGGAUUCGGAAUUCUCCACCAUAGUCUUCUGAAAAGGAUUUUCGUAGUUACCAAUGAAUCUCAAAAGAUAGGUGUGACCUGAAAAUGAAAACAUGAAGUCAAACAACAACAACAACAACAACAGUGUAGGGAGGCAUCUGAUACACAUUCUUGGCAGUAAGAAUGAUUGAUAAGAAUUACACAAAGAAAGGUUCACAGUCUUUCCUCUGAGGAAGUGGUAGUGGUGAUGACUUCUUCAUUAUAAAUUCAGGAAAGUGGUUGCCAUUCUUCAGUUAAGGAACAAAAAAAAUAAACCCACAAAGGGUUAUCUGGAAAAGAUGUACGUGAAAUCUAUGCCGAUGUGAGAAAUGACAAAAACAAGGACAGAAGCCGGGAAGGAAUCAGUGUUCUUCCGUUCUUUAUUUGAAUAUAGAAAAUUCUAGAAGCAAUUACAGAGAGCGGACUAUGAAACUCCACGUUUUCAGCAAUAUGAAUCAAGAAAUCAGUUUCUUUAAAACUAAAACACAGCAAUUGCAGCUGCCUGGCAUCCUUCAAGGAAAACAAGAGGUGAAAACAUAAGCAAUCUACAAUUAUUGCUUCAGGGGGAAAAUUUGCAUCAGUGAUGUAUUACUAUACAUUCAAUAUGGAGUUAUGAUGGAGUUCAAAAGAGAAGAUUGGAGGAAGGGUUUGGGAUAUCAGCCCCCUCCUGUUUUCUUUGCUUAUCUGACCUACUAUGUACCUUCUACCAGUUGUCAGAGGCAGAGGCUAAGUGGCCAAAAAACAAGAAGAGAUUUCCAUUCUCACUCAGCCUACUGUAUUUUACUGCUGGUGAAUUUACUUUGACACUCUCUGUGCUCGUCUUGGUGUGGGAGCUGAGAAAAAAUCUCCACUCACCCCCUUGGAAAAGAAGUCAACCUCCUCAUCCCUGGAACCUGUGAAUAUGUUACUGCAAGUGUCAAAAGAGCCUUUUCAGCUGACAAGGUUGAGACUGUCUUGGGAAAUGUGCCUACCAUUUAGUGGCUGCAAGAGUCCGAGCCCAUGUGCGUGGAACAGCGUGAGGCAGUACCUACUUGAAGUAAAGAAGGCUGAAGCUGGCUGGAUCAGUGCCUGGCUCUAGAGCAACUGCUCGGUUUGAAGGAAAUACAUAUUGCCCCUCAGGGAGCAGACAGUCAGUGGGAAGGUGGAAGCAGAAUGGAGCUAACUAGAGUUCAAAACCUGUACAGAGCCCAUUGGUUUCCAGGAGACUGGGGCCUAGAACAGAAGCCGGGGAAUGAAGCCUUCAUGCUUGACAAGAACAGGAUUCAUGAUGAGGGCCAUGGGAGAAUUCGAGAAGACUCAAGAGGAUUCUCCUGAGCCUGAGGCACAUGUGGUGGUCGGAGACAACAAUCAGACACCGGGAGAAGAGUCCUCUGACUCUGAGUAUUUCUCCCGCGUGUCGUCUCCAGGACAGCUUCGUGCUGCUGCUGAGGACUGUAAGGGAGAUCACAAAGGUUGGACAGGAUGAACAGCUGGGGUGGCUCAGCCCAAUCCCUACUUAUUUCACUUUCCAUUCAAAAACAGGAAAGGGCUUCAGGGCAGAGGAACUAAGACUGAAGCCUCUGCACAGGGACAAAUUGGGGUGUGCUUUCAAGGAUAGAACAGUUCCCCAUGUGAACACUGGGAGAGCUGUGAGUGAGGUAGUGGGCUGUGCUGAUAACAGGGUGGGAAUUCAGUUACCACCUCUUCCCUUAGGUCAGCACAAUCUCACACGCACGCACGCACACCAGCACACACAUACACCCUAUAUUCCUCCAUACCAGGUACAGCCGCAUUAUUCCUUUUCACUUUCUCAUAUGCACAAGCCUUCAUUCCAGAUGCGUCCUUCCCAUUCUCUACGAGCGUUACAGAUACACACUUGCGUCUUCCCUCCUCACGCCAUCAUUCUCAGACUCUGCUGUCUACAGACUAACCCAUGAAUAAUGUACACCCUUUCACACAGGUAGCUUGUUUUAGCUCUCUCAGAGCCAGCGUCUGCGCUCAAAAACUCCUAAUGCCCUGAUGGGAAUGCACUUUCAUGUACAGUCUUUCUUUUCCAUGUACCACCUCACCCAUAAAACCUUCAGCUCAAAGCCUUCAGCCCCUCAGGGAGCUGCGCUUCUGGGAAGCUCAAGCACACUUCCUCCAACACGCUCCGUCUUUAACUGUUUCACAAUAAGAACAUGAACCACCCCUGUUCACGUGUAUUGUCUCACCACACACACAUGUACACUGUCAUUCCCCACCCCCUUACCUAUGUGAGAAACACUCACCAGGUAUGUCCCAGAACAUACAUAGACCUCAACACCCUCAUUCCCACAGAAUCACACCACAAACAUAGCUCAGGUAAAAUAUACCACACACGGCAUUCAUUGACUUCACAUACAUAUGUACCUGGGGGCCAUGUACCCACAUCGGAAUAUUCUCAAGACCAUCACAACUCCUACAGACUUCACGCACUUAUUCUAGUUUACUUGUUUGAAACUUCUUUUUCUCAUGUUGGGGCCCUUGAGAUGACUCCACCCCAGGUCUGGGAGGAGAGGGAAGAUUCCUCCUCCUCCACCUCUUCCUCCUCUCCCUCCUCCUCUUCCUCCUCUCCAGUCCCUGUGAGUCAGCAGGGUGAGUCCUCUCUGUUCCCACAACACGCGGGCACAGCAACCAUCAGAGAAAUUUAUUACAGGCGUGUCUUUCUGAAAAGAGAUGUGACUGUCUGGUGGGGUGGGGUGGAAGUGUUGGAGCCCGCCUCUAAAAAGACCAGAAUGGUGCCAUGUGUUUUUCUCAAGAGGCCCAAAAAAUAUCUGGGGCCUUUUUUUUUUUGGUAGUUAAUUAUUUUUUAUUGAAGGGUAGUUGACAUACAGUAUUACAUUAGUUUCAGGUGUACAACACAAUGAUUCAACAUUUAUAUACAUGAUAAUUCUAGCUACCAGCUAUCACCAUACAAAGUUGUUACAAUAUUUUCACUAUAUAUCUGGGGCCUUUUUAACACCAAAAAGCCAGACUGCGGUUUUUCUGAGAAGACCCUCUUAUGUGUCUGCACCAAAACGCUUCACUGACAAGGAGUUCAGCUCGGAUAACAACGCCCCGCAGGGGAGGGAGCCGACUGCCAGUGCAGGGGAGCCUCCAGCCCAGGAGGGCUCCAGGGCCAAGACACCCCAGGGGCUGGGGACCCUGGACAGCGGCUUCAGGUGUCUGGGCUGCUGCCUGGUUUUCCGCAGCUUGGAGGUCCUGCAGGCGCACGUGGAGAAUGCGGCCCGUGAGCACUUCAGCUGCCACGUUUUCAACCGUGCCUUUGCUCAGAUGCUCAGCAAGCACAAGAAGAGAGCCCGAGAGCUGGGAGGAGAAAAUCAGGAGAACGUUUCCCUGCCAGACCAAAAGCGUUCUCGCACUAAGACAUCCUCCUGCAAGUAAACAAACGUUUCAGGCCCCAGAAAAGUGAAAGUGAAGCAGGCCAGCCUCUACCGAGCCACUACUACUGGCCCUUUCACCGCCUCUUUUUUGAAGGACUUGGCUGUUUUAGCUGUUACUUUAAUUGAUUACACAUCCUUAUUAUCCCUUCAAUAAAUCAUUGUUUUGCAUCGAUUAGCCAGACAUUUACUGUUGUUUGUAAUUUAAUGUAUCUUAACGGAUGCAAAUUAGCUUUAACAUGAUAAUUUCUCUCUUUUUAAUCAUUGAAAUGGUGUAGGGUAGAAAGGAGUAGCACACUAUAGUCCUCUUGAGUUUGUACUGAAACAAGGGGUAUAUACUUACACUUGGUGUGUACACUUUGAUCUUGAUUAGUUAGGAAGCUGUGUUGAAAAGGUUUACAUAUGUAUACAAAAUAAUUGGACUUCACUAGAGUAGACCUUUUUUGACAUUUUUGAAACCAGUGGGAAAAUGAAAGUGCAGAGAGAUGUACAAACAAUAAGAAGGAAAAUGAAAUUUUAGACUUGAAUAUUAAAACAGAUUAGAUUUUUAAAAAUCAUACAUUGGGCCAAACAGGAGCACUGUGAUUGCAAAGGAAACAUACACUGAAUCUGAAGGUAAGGAGGGAGAAGUUCAGUCGGAAGAAGAGAAAAUCAUAAAAAGGAAUGUACAGAGUAGCUCCAAGGCCUGUGGGGGACCAAAAGUUCUGAAAUUCAUGCCAAGCCACAGGUGUCG